GCCCAGGGUUCUGGCACCGACCGUCGCUGCGUCCUGCCCCUGCAGGACUACCGCUAGUGCAGUGCGACACGGGGCGGUGCUGGCAUCUGCCAUUUCUCGGCACACCGGCACCAUUUUAUUAAAAACAAAAACAAGAAAGCUGCAGAAAACACCAGUGUCCCUGUUGGCCCCCUUGUUUUCUCCCCUCUGAUCCCUGUGGGCAGCUGCCAAAAACUAAAACUUUUUCUUCCUCCCUUCCUUCUUUUCUUUCUAAGAUCAUUUACAAGAACCAUGCAAUUCAGGGCCUGCAAAAGAAAACAAGAUUUACUGAGAGCGCAGAGGAGGAAUAGAAUGUGAGGUUGAGUGCCACCACCACCACCCCCCUCCCCAAGUAUUCCCCACACACUUAUCCCAUUUGCGAGCACCUCGUUGGACAUUCCCGUAAAACUGAAACAAUGAUUUCAUCCCAGACCGGGAGCAGAGGGGAAAAGCAGGGCACUGAAGGUGAUCCAGGCAGCCUGGAAGUUCGGAGGCCCCGGGGAUGCCAGCGAUAAUGAAUCAGGACUGCCAGUGGAAAGGACGCACUUGCAAUUCUGUCCUGAAUAGACGCAAACCUGAGCCAGCACGGGCGCACUGAACUUGCUUCUCUGCUGUAGGUCGAUUGCACUAAGAAUUUAACCAUUUUCUGCUUCAUGGACUUCAAACAGUAGGCCGGCAAAGAGCAGUAAAAGUUUGUUUGUUUAAAAAACCCCUGUCAUUAAAAAUGAGUUCCUUCUCUGG